rnacentral:rRNA from 1 species
GAACGCGAAGAACCUUACCUACCCUUGACAUGUCUGGAAUCCUGAAGAGAUUUGGGAGUGCUCGAAAGAGAGCCAGAACACAGGUGCUGCAUGGCCGUCGUCAGCUCGUGUCGUGAGAUGUUGGGUUAAGUCCCGCAACGAGCGCAACCCUUGUCAUUAGUUGCUACGAAAGGGCACUCUAAUGAGACUGCCGGUGACAAACCGGAGGAAGGUGGGGAUGACGUCAGGUCAUCAUGGCCCUUAUGGGUAGGGCUACACACGUCAUACAAUGGCCGGGACAGAGGGCUGCCAACCCGCGAGGGGGAGCUAAUCCCAGAAACCCGGUCGUAGUCCGGAUCGUAGUCUGCAACUCGACUGCGUGAAGUCGGAAUCGCUAGUAAUCGCGGAUCAGCUUGCCGCGGUGAAUACGUUCCCGGGUCUUGUACACACC